GGCGCGCGGCCCCCUCCUCGACGCACCCGGGCGGACACCAUGCCAGCUACCGCCAGCAAACGUGUUGCCCUGCCGGGGGAGCGGCGCCGGGUGGGCCGCAAGCCUCCCCGCUGAUCCCUCGCUACCGCCUACAACACGAGCAUCACUCUUGACGCCGUGCAAUUAACGAUUUUAUCAUGUGUGGCCUCCGGAUGGUGAGCGACAACUGCGGCCUGGAUGUCGCGCUUCAACUCCAGAGCCUUCACGACAAUCUAACAAAUCUUGUUUUUACUAACAAGUGUGCCUCGAGCCUCCGACCCGUACUGAGGCCCCUCCCCGCCGAGCCUGAUGUGGAACUCUCGCACACAUCUCCAGGAUCUUUCAAACUGGUCAUCAUUUAUGUCCUUGGACUGCUUCUGCUGGCACUGUUUGUAGCCCUAUUAAGAAGAAUUAAAGACUUUUGGAAUUAGCUGUGGAA